UUGUAUAAUGGGUCAGCGACUUAUAUUCAGUGGCAAGCUUAACCGUAUAGGGUAGGCGUAGCGAAAGCGAGUCUUAAUAGGGCGUUUAGUCGCUGGGUAUAGACCCGAAACCGGGCGAUCUAUCCAUGAGCAGGUUGAAGGUUAGGUAACACUGACUGGAGGACCGAACCCACUCCCGUUGAAAAGGUAGGGGAUGACUUGUGGAUCGGAGUGAAAGGCUAAUCAAGCUCGGAGAUAGCUGGUUCUCCUCGAAAGCUAUUUAGGUAGCGCCUCAUGUAUCACUCUGGGGGGUAGAGCACUGUUUCGGCUAGGGGGUCAUCCCGACUUACCAAACCGAUGCAAACUCCGAAUACCCAGAAGUGCCGAGCAUGGGAGACACACGGCGGGUGCUAACGUCCGUCGUGAAAAGGGAAACAACCCAGACCGCCAGCUAAGGUCCCAAAGUUGUGGUUAAGUGGUAAACGAUGUGGGAAGGCUUAGACAGCUAGGAGGUUGGCUUAGAAGCAGCCAUCCUUUAAAGAAAGCGUAAUAGCUCACUAGUCGAGUCGGCCUGCGCGGAAGAUGUAACGGGGCUCAAACCACAC
rnacentral:rRNA from 1 species